UUAAAUUUCAACGUUCACUGUAUUUUUCAAUCAUAUCUCACAGCUCAAGCACUCUCUUCAGGCAGACCCGACUUGGAAAAUACCCGUGCAGGAGAAAAAAAAUGAGUUCUACAGAACCAGAAGUUUAAAAGCUAAAAAGUUCAG
rnacentral:lncRNA from 1 species